AAUCAACGCUGGCGGCGUGCCUCAGACAUGCAAGUCGAACGCGAAAGUUCCCUUCGGGGAAUAAGUAGAGUGGCGCACGGGUGAGUAACACGUAGGUAAUCUACCUUCGGGUGGGGAAUAACCCAGGGAAACUUGGGCUAACACCGCAUGAUGCAGCGGCACCACAUGGUGACAGUUGUUAAAGCGGGGGAUUUUCGGACCUCGCGCCUGAAGAGGAGCCUGCGGCGGAUUAGCUAGNGGUGAGGUAACGGCUCACCAAGGUCACGAUCCGUAGCCGGCCUGAGAGGGCGGUCGGUCACACUGACACUGACAUACGGGUCAGACUCCUACGGGAGGCAGCAGUCGGGAAUUUUGGGCAAUGGGCGAAAGCCUGACCCAGCAACGCCGCGUGAAGGAUGAAAUCCCUCGGGAUGUAAACUUCGCAAGAACGGGAAGAAU
rnacentral:rRNA from 1 species